UGCCAACGGGAAAAUGAUUCCUAACGCAAACACCCACUGGACAAAACCCAGGCGCUGACGCUUCAGACGGCCUUGCGUCUUGAUUGCGUGUCUGUGCCCAGAGACAAACCUGUUCCAGUUUCUGUGACCAAAAAUAAUGCAAGCUCCUCCAUUGAUCUCACAUCCUCACUAUGUCACGCUGCCAAAUCUGGACCCCCAGGACGGUCUGGUGUCCAGUUUCCUCGGCAAACAAUACGUUCCUGAAAAUAACCUCUGACAAAUUAGAGGCGACUGUGUUUGAUGCGCUGUACUCUUCCAUGACGGAAGAAACACCUACAGGUUAAGCUUUGCUUUCCCGUUAGAGCCAGAAAAAACUAUCAAAUUGUUAUUUUGAAGUGGAAUAUGUGAUGUGAUGUCAGAUGUGAUGUGAUAUGAUGAUAUGUGAUGUGAUGUGAUGUGAUGUGAUGUGAUGUGAUGUGAUGUGAUGUGAUGUGAUGUGUUGUCCGAUGUGAUGACAGAUUUGAUGUGAUGUGAUGUGAUGACAGAGGUGAGGCCUCCAGGACCUGUACUGAUCCGCUCCAUUCGGCCGGCGCCGCAAACGGAGCAGAACCCGACCCCUCACCAACACGAGCUUCAGCGGAGCGUUGCUGGGAUGCCUGCUUGUGUAGCCGCAGUCAGGAAAUGUGAGCGCUGGCAUCUGAGGGCGGCGGCAGCGCCAAGCCAAGCCGCCUCCUGGCCACCUGCGGCCCGGCCUCCUCCGCUGGGACACUGGGCCUCUUGUUUGUGCCGCGGCCGGUCCGCGCCGCUCUGGCCUGCGAGAGAUCAAUCAGGGGGUCUGUCUCAUUCCGCUGGAUUCCUGCAUGUGGAGACUCUCGAUCCUGUAAACGCUGCGGUGUAAACAGUGCCUCCAGAUCUUUCCACCGAAGCAACGCAACACAUUCGGAGGCUCGGACGAGUGGGUGGAUGUGUUUAGUUUGGGUUCAUCCGGUCCUGGGAGGUCUGAUAACGCGAGGCCGCUCCGCUUCAACGCAGAUG